UAAAAAUUGUCUGAGAUCAUCGAUAAUCAAAAGACCGGAGACUUAUUGAUGGUUUUGUGUACAUAUGAGAUUAUCAAAUCCCAAGAAUAAAGUUGGGCCACAAUCCCACAUCUCUCCAUUUGGAUACUUCUCAUCUCUGUGUAGCUCCACAUUGUUCUUGGCAAUAAAGACAUUUGACGUGAGCUUCCUCGCCCACCCUCCCGAUCUCCCUCACUCACUCGGUUUCCGCGGUUACCAGUCACUCUGCUUGGUUAUGCAAUGCACGCCGCUUUCAGGCUCUGAGACGGGACCUAUAACUACACGACUGCCAUCAGCUACGGACAGAGAACGGCAGGGAGGGGAGCUCACAGCUGCAGGUCGCCGAUCUUCAGAGCAUCCGGAGGCGCUUGCGCGCAUCUGUAGCACUUCUACACCCACAGAAAAAAAAGAGGAGCGCAAAAGAAGGGAAAGAAAUCACGGAGCAGGGAAAAGAAGAGAAGACGUUUGGCCAGCUGGCCCUCAUGUUGCCGCCAGCCCAGAUAUGCUUCUCCUGUGAUGAGUCCACAGCAUGCUGGAUCUUCCCUCAGAUCUCCCACGCCGUAGGAUAAACACCCAGGAGACAGAGGUGGAGGGUCAGAAUGGGGACGACCACUGUCAGUAUAGAGGAGGUCCGGGCGCAAGAGGGUAAAGAGGAGCGAGAGGAGUCCAUCUUGGCCCUGCUGGGAAUCAUUGGCACCUUCUUGAACCUCUUCGUCAUUGUGUUUGUUUACAUCUACACUACUCUGUGAGGAGGAGGCUCCACACAGGUUGAGAGCAGGUGGAGGUGAGGGGAAGAGUCAGACGGAGAUAUGACAGAGGGAUUGAAAUCUCACAGAGAGGAACGUGGAAGAUGACACUGGACCACUCAGGACAGGGGGAGUGAUGCUUGCACUUGACCACAGAGCCCUUACGGAUAUAUACGGUCCAUCUCAAUGCAAUUGACGUCUGUUUAAUGUGGACCUCUUGACACAUGGAGAGCGAUUCUUGGAUAGGCCAGAUUUGUACCUUUGCAGGAUGUGUUCAUGGGCCAAGGGACCUUUACGUUUCCCCGGUGGUGGGUAUUACAUUGAGCACUGCCUAGCUUCAAUGACAAGGACGCAUGUACGAAUAAAGUGUCUAUUGGUCAAACACACGAACAUCAUAGGGCAACUGAAUGACAGCUUUCAAACUUAACCACCAAUAGAAUGAGUUCUGCAAUAAAAUGAAAAAAGAUUAAAUUCUAAAUUAUUUUUCUAUUAAGAGCAAAAGAGAGAAUGAGACUCUCCGGGACUCAUCUGCAGGUUCGAAAAGCUGGAACUUGUGGGAACAGGCAGUUUGAUGACAUUUGGACACUUUUUCACUGUUCCUCCUCCUUUCUGACUGGUGGUGGGAAGAUAAACAUUCAAAUAUGAGUGUGUCUGUUUUCUGUCUGAUUUGAGUGCGGUGUCAGACAUGUUUCUGUGCAAAGGAAAACGCUUUUGUAUUGAUAUAUGAUUACAUACUAAAUGUAUUGUGCCAUAGGGAUCAAUAAAAUUAUA